UACAGAGGUCCCAAGCGUUGUUCGGAUUCAUUGGGCGUAAAGGGUGCGUAGGCGGCGCGGUGAGUCGGGUGUGAAAUCUCGGAGCUUAACUCUGAAACUGCAUUCGAUACUGCCGUGCUUGAGGACUGGAGAGGAGACUGGAAUUCAUGGUGUAGCAGUGAAAUGCGUAGAGACCAUGAGGAAGACCAGUGGCGAAGGCGGGUCACUGGACCGGUACUGACGCUGAAGCGCGAAAGCGUGGGGAGCAAACGGG
rnacentral:rRNA from 1 species